UAAGUAUUUUUGAAAAGAAGGGUAUUUAGAUUAAUGGGAAUGGGAGGAUAAGAGAGGGAUUCUUGGAGCAAGGGGGUAGGUUAAGUUAUUCAGAAGGCAAGGUAGUAGGUAGAAGUAGAGGAGUAAGGAGGGAUAGGAAAUAAGAGAUAUUCACAAAAAUAAAAUAAAGAUCAGGAGUAGAAUUUGUUAGGAGCAAAUGAGCAGGGGUGGCAACCAUGAUCUUGGACAAAAUUAAGGCUAAAAUAGAUUUAAUCAAAAGAGAAAAAUAGGGAAACUACAUUAUGUGUCAGCCAUGUGUAUCAAUGUUGUUUUGGACUGUUAAAAACAACUAUGUAAGGUGGGCAUAUUGCUGUGGUGUAUGAAAUGAUGAGUUAGUAGACUUGAAAUAAUAUGGAAUGACUCGGACUUAUGGAGGAAGAGGUUAUCCGCCCUCAGAGAAACAGAGGACCUGGUUUGGAGUUUGGGCUCUAUUGUUUAAGCAAAUGUCUAACCUUAAGCAACUCAGUUAACCUCUCUGUACCUCAUUACUUUAUAAUAUGUGACUAGAUAAUAAUAAUUAAUUCGUUUAUAUAGCACUUUAAAGUUGGGAAAAUAUUUUGCCACAUACUCAUUUAAGGUUCCUUCUAGCUCUAAGUCCUCUGAUUUUGACUAACUGCAUCCAUAUCACAUGUCUUUUUUCCUCAAAACACCAUUCUCACCCCCAGGUUUCUAGAUAUUUCAUUUCAAUUUGAAAUAUCUUAACUGAAUUUAGAAAUGUUUUACUUGCGUAGUUCCUUUGAGCUGCACCAAUGCUAGAAGCACUGUUAUGAAACAUACUUCCUAUUUUUUAGUUCUUUUUAUGUAGUGAAUUCAAGAUGCUUUUUGUAGUUUUGUUAUACAGACUUGGCUCUAAAUUGUUUGUCUUCUGGCUGAAAGUAAUUCAAAUUAAAGAGAAAUAAAGAUAACAUUGGACAUUAUUUGGAAGGAAUAAUUUAUGGGUGGAUGAAUCCUAGCAGUUUCACCAGAAGAGCAGUGGCUGAAUUGAGAGCUGAAAACAAACUAGACACACUAAAGGAAGGCAGUUUCAAGACUCUACAGUGAACCUAACAGAAAAUUGUACCACACCUAAGAGAUUCUACAUAAGGCUUCCCUGAAGGGUCUUCCAGCAACCAGAAGCUGUAAUUUAACUCUUUGCCGUGUGCGUUUUCUAAACUUGAGCCCACUUUUCUCUGAACUCUGUAUAUUUUUCUGAUAAAGUGUGCCCCAGACUUGAAUGGAAUGUUUUGUGCAAAUUGUUCUUCUAUCACCUUAGUAAAUGCUCAUUUCCAAAAGCAA